rnacentral:lncRNA from 1 species
AAGAGUAAAGUACUUCCGCUUCCUUAGGUGGAGCUGGAAAGGUGGAGGCGGAAGUGACUGAUCAAUUCAGGGGCGUGGGGUUCGUUUAGGUUUUGCCCUGUGUAUGACCUCGUUUGGAGCCAUGAAACCAGGUCACCAUGUGUGAUGACUACAUCCAAAGAGAGUGAGUGGCUUGAGACAUUGGUAGUAUGUGUAUCUGAUCAUAUCAAUAUGUUAAAAUGACGUUCAAAGUAUGAUCUACCUCAGAAUAAUCUAGCCUCAAGCUUUAUUCUAGGAAGAUACAAGGGACAGAAUAGUUAGCAGUGUUCCUGUUGAAAGGUCCAAGUAUCUCCCUAGGCACAGAAAACACCCAAAUGAGCAAAGCAGACCUUGGUGGCCAGAGGGGAGCCCUCAGGUAGAGCUGCAGAUGCUGGCAGUUUGUGUUAGAAGGUUCCGGGGCUAAACAGAUGCCUAGAAUUAGCCACCAAAAGGUAAAUUGUAGACUCCACUCUUCAAGAAGCAGCAGAAGGAUUAGGAAUUCAAACAGUGCUAUUUUACGGUCAUAAGAACAGACAGUAUUUUUUUGGCGCAGCAAGAACUUCUUAGGCCAUAAAGCAUGACAGACCUCUUUUCCUUAUGCGCUGAAUUGAAGAAGUGCUGACUCUUUUGCUGAUGGUGGCUUUUCUACAAUAUAAAGAUGGAAAUGGGAAGAAGAUGUUCAUUGCAAAUUAAGGAAGCUCUUCCACGAGUUCACGAAUGGAAAUAACAUCAAGAGUUUUUCAUCUUCUUAGUGUGCAAGAUGUCUGAGGAAUAGUCUUAGUGGAUUAUCCCAAACUUGACACAUUUUUUGCAAAAUGCUAUACAAAAAGAAGAUACAUGCGAUUAUGACAAGAUUCUCCACUUGGUGUGACCAGUCUCAUACAACCCAAGGCUGUGUGUCCAAAGGCAACUGUACUGAUCUUGACAAUAAUCAAAAGGUAGCCAGGUGCAUCGGGGAAAGCACUGACAUUGGAGUCAGACAGACUGAAGUUCAUAUCUGAUUCUGCUAUAUGACAACGUGUGGGCUAUGUGGCUAACUUCUCAGAGCUUCAGUUUUCUCAAGGGCAAAAUGAAAAUAAUAGAAAUAAUAGAAUCCACCUCACAGGGCUGUGGUGAGAAUUGGAGAUGAAGCACAUACAGCAUAUUACAUCAACUAAACACAUGCUAAAAAUUAAAGGGGAUGAAAGAUACAUUGGUCCCUGCAGUGGGAAGUUUCCUUGACAAUGCAAUUAUUGAUUCCAGAAGGCUGAACAAAUGUUGACAGAGGAACACACUGUUUGCUUAUGUCUAAUCUUCCCAUCUGACUUAUAUAAAUGUCACAAAUGAAUCUCAGACAUGUGCCCAAUAUCAAAUAUCCAUACGAUGGCCCUGGAAAGAGGCAAUCUACAUUUAUGGCUGAUGAGAAGAUGGAUUUUUAGCUUGAAAGAAACUUAUUACUGGGGAGAGGAAGUAUAAAUGAAUGGAGAGAGCUAUGAAGAGGUUGAGAGAAUACAGCCAAGGCACAUGACAGAAUUGCUCUGUUGAAGUUUUGCAAGGUCAAAUGACUCACUUUGUCUAAUGGAACGGGAACGAACAAUUUUUUUGUGUCACGUUUGAACAGAUACCUUUGAGAAGUUUAUGAUUCUCCAAGUUCUCUUUCUCCUACUGUGGCACCUACUGACAAGAUAAAUGUGUAGAGGUUCCUGAGUCUAGGGGUGAGUCUUGCAUAUCUGAUGAAUCCACCAGUAAAAGUACCACUGCUGAAAUCACGCAAAUAUAUUUUUUUAGACCUUAUCAACCUUGGCAUGGAAUUAGAUGAGCAAAAAGCUGAGUUGAAUUGAUGAAAAGAAUCCCAAGUCAUUAAUUACUAAUGAUGGAGCUUGUAAAGUACAGCAUCACUGGGGAAAGCAACUGACUUUCCUCAUACACAUUAUAUUUUUAUCUGAAUUUCAAUACUGCUUAAAUAUGUACUUCAUUACAGGGCACAACUAAAAUAGAAGGGCACCUGCUAAGUCAGAGCCAUAAAACAGAUCUACAGCCUGCUGGCAUGUGAAAUUUCUCUAAUUUAUAUUUUUUAUGAAACUACCCUCACAUUAUGUGGUUGGCAGCAUAAAUAAUAAAGCAUGUUACUGAAGCAAUUUUACAUUUACUGUAUUAGUAAGUAAAUGCAAUGGCCACUCUUAUUCUCAAAUAAAAACUACCCAGCCUUUUCAUGAAAGAUGUUUGCAAUUUCCAUUGGCCUGUAUAUGCAAUAAAAAGCCAUAACUCAUCAAAA